GACGAACGCUGGCGGCGUGCUUAACACAUGCAAGUCGAGCGGAAAGGCCUUCGGGGUACUCGAGCGGCGAACGGGUGAGUAACACGUGAGUAACCUGCCCCUGGCUUUGGGAUAACCAUCGGAAACGGUGGCUAAUACCGAAUAUUCACUUCUGCUCGCAUGGGUGGUUGUGGAAAGUUUUUCGGCUGGGGAUGGGCUCGCGGCCUAUCAGCUUGUUGGUGGGGUGAUGGCCUACCAAGGCUUUGACGGGUAGCCGGCCUGAGAGGGCGACCGGCCACACUGGGACUGAGACACGGCCCAGACUCCUACGGGAGGCAGCAGUGGGGAAUAUUGCACAAUGGGCGGAAGCCUGAUGCAGCGACGCCGCGUGAGGGAUGACGGCCUUCGGGUUGUAAACCUCUUUCAGCAGGGACGAAGCGCAAGUGACGGUACCUGCAGAAGAAGCGCCGGCCAACUACGUGCCAGCAGCCGCGGUAAGACGUAGGGCGCGAGCGUUGUCCGGAUUUAUUGGGCGUAAAGAGCUCGUAGGCGGCUUGUUGCGUCGUCCGUGAAAACCUGGGGCUCAACUCCAGGCUUGCGGUCGAUACGGGCAGGCUAGAGUUCGGUAGGGGAGACUGGAAUUCCUGGUGUAGCGGUGAAAUGCGCAGAUAUCAGGAGGAACACCGGUGGCGAAGGCGGGUCUCUGGGCCGAUACUGACGCUGAGGAGCGAAAGCGUGGGGAGCGAACAGGAUUAGAUACCCUGGUAGUCCACGCUGUAAACGUUGGGCGCUAGGUGUGGGGGGCCUCUCCGGUUUCCUGCGCCGUAGCUAACGCAUUAAGCGCCCCGCCUGGGGAGUACGGCCGCACGGCUAA
rnacentral:rRNA from 1 species